GAUCCGUGCCGUAGCUAACGCAUUAAGUACCCCGCCUGGGGAGUACGGCCGCAAGGCUAAAACUCAAAGAAAUUGACGGGGGCCCGCACAAGCGGCGGAGCAUGUGGAUUAAUUCGAUGCAACGCGAAGAACCUUACCUGGGUUUGACAUGCACAGGACGCCGGCAGAGAUGUCGGUUCCCUUGUGGCCUGUGUGCAGGUGGUGCAUGGCUGUCGUCAGCUCGUGUCGUGAGAUGUUGGGUUAAGUCCCGCAACGAGCGCAACCCUUGUCUCAUGUUGCCAGCGGGUAAUGCCGGGGACUCGUGAGAGACUGCCGGGGUCAACUCGGAGGAAGGUGGGGAUGACGUCAAGUCAUCAUGCCCCUUAUGUCCAGGGCUUCACACAUGCUACAAUGGCCGGUACAAAGGGCUGCGAUGCCGCGAGGUUAAGCGAAUCCUUUUAAAGCCGGUCUCAGUUCGGAUCGGGGUUGCACUGACCCGUGAAGUGGAGUGUAGUAAUCGCAGAUCAGCACGCUGCGGUGAACGUUCCCGGGC
rnacentral:rRNA from 1 species